rnacentral:lncRNA from 10 species
AGUCAUACUCCAACCACAUUGAGACAUACUCUCCUUGUCCUUUAAUUGUUUAUAAUUUAAUUUUCUUCUGCUUGAAAUUUUGUCCAUUAUAAGCUAUUUUCAUAUUUGUGAGAAAAUGAAAUCACAGAAUUUCAAAAUUUUGGGGACGAAGAUAUACAACCUUCCACCAAAUCCAGUUUUCUGGAACUGUUUCAAGAGAAGUUCAGGGAAUAUAGGCUCAAGCCUCUGAUUCACUGAGGGUGAGAAGAGUUCUUUCCUGCUGGACAUGAAUAUUUCUUGCAGAUGUCUUAUGAUUAAAGAUGAUAUCAGCCUUAGAACAAAAGUGACACUGUGAAUGGCAGCGAGAAGAAAGACAGAGAGAGACAGAGAGAGAAGAGAGAAAACAAUCCCAGAGUAAACCCAUCAUGAAUUAUUCUCUGCCUCUGGAGUUUCAUUUAUGUGAGUCGAUUGUGUCCUCAUUGUUUAAGUUUUGCCACUCAAAGAGUCGUCCAUGAACUAGCAGCAUUGAUAUUG